GAUGAACGCUAGCGGCAGGCUUAAUACAUGCAAGUCGAGGGGCAGCAGGGUGUAGCAAUACAUCGCUGGCGACCGGCGAACGGGUGCGGAACACGUACGCAACCUUCCUUCAAGUGGAGAAUAGCCCAGGGAAACUUGGAUUAAUACUUCGUAACAUUAUGAGAUGGCAUCAUUUUAUAAUUAUAGUUCCGACGCUUGAAGAUGGGCGUGCGCCUGAUUAGGAGUUGGCGGGUAACGCCCACCAAGCCUACGAUCAGUAACUGGUGUGAGAGCACGACCAGUCACACGGGCACUGAGACACGGGCCCGACUCCUACGGGAGGCAGCAGUAAGGAAUAUUGGUCAAUGGACGCAAGUCUGAACCAGCCAUGCCGCGUGGAGGAUGAAGGUCCUCUGGAUU
rnacentral:rRNA from 1 species